AUGCACUUUCUUCCCCGUCUUUCACUCUUCUUCCUCCUCUCUUCUUCUUCCUCCUCUCUUCUUCUUCCUCCUCUCUUCCCCAUCGCCGGCCGCACACCAUUUCCCCCCGCUCACUGCUCGCCCGCCCGCGCCAUCUUCCUUGGUAGCUCCAGACGAAAAUGCGUUGGCCUUCAUGAUUCCAGGACCUGGAAUCAUACCAGCCGAUGGUACCAUAUAACUGGAAUUAACCGAUGCAACUCCAAGAAGGAUUGGCCAGUGCUGCCGCCUGGUGUCAAGUUCGAUCCCACGGAUCAGGAGCUGAUCAAGCACCUUGAGGCCAAAGUGAGUGCUGACAGCGCGAGAUCUCACCCUCUCAUCGAUUUGUUCAUACCAACCAUCGACAGCGAGCAUGGCAUAUGCUACACCCAUCCUGAGAAACUUCCAGGUGUCACACUGAGUGGCCUAAGCAAGCAUUUCUUCCAGCGUAAUUCCAAGGCGUUCAAAAGGGGCACGUGGACGCAUCACAAGAUACAGUCAAAGUGCGGCAUGCACGCGAUGUGGCACAAGACCGGCAACACCAUGCCGGUGAUGGUCAAUGGCCGGCAGACGGGCAGCAAAAAGAACUUUGACCAGCAAAGGACCAACUGGGUGAUGCACCAGUACCACCUCGGGGACCUGGAGAAAGAGAAGGAGCGGGAGCUGGCCCUCUGCAAGAUUUUCUAG
rnacentral:rRNA from 1 species